rnacentral:tRNA from 1 species
CGAAGAUUUUUGGAUUCUUAAGAGUAGGUUCGAUUCCUAUGAUUCUAGAAAUAAGGGG